rnacentral:rRNA from 1 species
UACGAAGGUGGCAAGCGUUGUUCGGAAUCAUUGGGCGUAAAGCGCGCGUAGGCGGCCCGAUAAGUCCGCUGUGAAAGUCAACGGCUCAACUGUUGGAUGCCGGUGGAUACUGUCGGGCUAGAGUACGGAAGAGGCAAGUGGAAUUCCUGGUGUAGCGGUGGAAUGCGCAGAUAUCAGGAGGAACACCUAUAGCGAAGGCAGCUUGCUGGGACGUUACUGACGCUAAGGCGCGAAAGCGUGGGGAGCGAACAGG